AAUGGGGGCAACCCUGAUCCAGCCAUGCCGCGUGCGGGAGAAGGCCUUCGGGUUGUAAACCGCUUUUAGCCGGGACGAAAAGGGCACGGAUAACACCCGUGUUUUUUGACGGUACCGGCGGAAUAAGCACCGGCUAACUACGUGCCAGCAGCCGCGGUAAUACGUAGGGUGCGAGCGUUAAUCGGAAUUACUGGGCGUAAAGCGUGCGCAGGCGGUUCGUUGUGUCGGCGGUGAAAGCCCCGGGCUCAACCUGGGAAUGGCCGUUGAAACUGGCGAACUGGAGUGUGGCAGAGGGGGGUGGAAUUCCGCGUGUAGCAGUGAAAUGCGUAGAGAUGCGGAGGAACACCGAUGGCGAAGGCAGCCCCCUGGGCUGACACUGACGCUCAGGCACGAAAGCGUGGGGAGCAAACAGGAUUAGAUACCCUGGUAGUCCACGCCCUAAACGAUGUCGACUGGGUGUUGGGGAAGCGAUUUCCCAGUACCGUAGCUAACGCGUGAAGUCGACCGCCUGGGGAGUAC
rnacentral:rRNA from 1 species